GGAGGUAUCAGAAGUGCGAAUGCUGACAUAAGUAACGAUAAAGCGGGUGAAAAGCCCGCUCGCCGGAAGACCAAGGGUUCCUGUCCAACGUUAAUCGGGGCAGGGUGAGUCGACCCCUAAGGCGAGGCCGAAAGGCGUAGUCGAUGGGAAACAGGUUAAUAUUCCUGUACUUGGUGUUACUGCGAAGGGGGGACGGAGAAGGCUAUGUUGGCCGGGCGACGGUUGUCCCGGUUUAAGCGUGUAGGCUGGUUUUCCAGGCAAAUCCGGAAAACCAAGGCUGAGGCGUGAUGACGAGGCACUACGGUGCUGAAGCGACAAAUGCCCUGCUUCCAGGAAAAGCCUCUAAGCAUCAGGUAACAUCAAAUCGUACCCCAAACCGACACAGGUGGUCAGGUAGAGAAUACCAAGGCGCUUGAGAGAACUCGGGUGAAGGAACUAGGCAAAAUGGUGCCGUAACUUCGGGAGAAGGCACGCUGAUAUGUAGGUGAAGCGACUUGCUCGUGGAGCUGAAAUCAGUCGAAGAUACCAGCUGGCUGCAACUGUUUAUUAAAAACACAGCACUGUGCAAACACGAAAGUGGACGUAUACGGUGUGACGCCUGCCCGGUGCCGGAAGGUUAAUUGAUGGGGUUAGCGGUAACGCGAAGCUCUUGAUCGAAGCCCCGGUAAACGGCGGCCGUAACUAUAACGGUCCUAAGGUAGCGAAAUUCCUUGUCGGGUAAGUUCCGACCUGCACGAAUGGCGUAAUGAUGGCCAGGCUGUCUCCACCCGAGACUCAGUGAAAUUGAACUCGCUGUGAAGAUGCAGUGUACCCGCGGCAAGACGGAAAGACCCCGUGAACCUUUACUAUAGCUUGACACUGAACAUUGAGCCUUGAUGUGUAGGAUAGGUGGGAGGCUUUGAAGUGUGGACGCCAGUCUGCAUGGAGCCGACCUUGAAAUACCACCCUUUAAUGUUUGAUGUUCUAACGUUGGCCCGUAAUCCGGGUUGCGGACAGUGUCUGGUGGGUAGUUUGACUGGGGCGGUCUCCUCCUAAAGAGUAACGGAGGAGCACGAAGGUUGGCUAAUCCUGGUCGGACAUCAGGAGGUUAGUGCAAUGGCAUAAGCCAGCUUGACUGCGAGCGUGACGGCGCGAGCAGGUGCGAAAGCAGGUCAUAGUGAUCCGGUGGUUCUGAAUGGAAGGGCCAUCGCUCAACGGAUAAAAGGUACUCCGGGGAUAACAGGCUGAUACCGCCCAAGAGUUCAUAUCGACGGCGGUGUUUGGCACCUCGAUGUCGGCUCAUCACAUCCUGGGGCUGAAGUAGGUCCCAAGGGUAUGGCUGUUCGCCAUUUAAAGUGGUACGCGAGCUGGGUUUAGAACGUCGUGAGACAGUUCGGUCCCUAUCUGCCGUGGGCGCUGGAGAACUGAGGGGGGCUGCUCCUAGUACGAGAGGACCGGAGUGGACGCAUCACUGGUGUUCGGGUUGUCAUGCCAAUGCACUGCCCGGUAGCUAAAUGCGGAAGAGAUAAGUGCUGAAAGCAUCUAAGCACGAAACUUGCCCCGAGAUGAGUUCU
rnacentral:rRNA from 1 species